ensembl:snRNA U6 U6 spliceosomal RNA
GUGCUCACUUUGGCAGCACGUAUACUGAAAUUAUAAUAAUCCAGAGAAGAUUAGCAUGGCCCCUGUGCAAGGAUGACAUGCAAAUUCAUGGAGCAUUCCAGAUUUUU